AAGGGAGCGUAGGCGGCUGAUUAAGUCAGCGGUGAAAGGUAGCAGCUUAACUGUUUUACAUGCCGUUGAUACUGGUUAGCUUGAGUUGACAGAAGGCAGAUAGAAUUCCUGGUGUAGCGGUGAAAUGCUUAGAUACCAGGAGGAAUACCGAUUGCGAAGGCAGUCUGCUGCAGUCACACUGACGCUGAGGCUCGAAGGUGCGGGGAUCAAACAGGAUUAGAUACCCAAGU
rnacentral:rRNA from 1 species